ACUCUGGCUGGGACAGGAGUCAGGACUCCGGGAGAGGAGAGCCAGCGCUGACCCAAGGCCGGGGAGGGAUCUGGCCCUCCUGCCCACAGGCGCAGGGCUGAGUGGGAGCAGAGGUGUGGUGUCUGCCCCCCCUUGGGGGGGCAGGACAGGGCCUCAGGCCUGGGUGCUGCCUGGCACCUGGAAGAUGCCUGUGCCCUGGUUCCUUCUGUCCUUGGCACUGGGCCGAAACCCUGUGGUCCUCUCUCUAGAGAGGUUUGGGGCUCAGGACGCUGCCCGCUGCUCUCCGGGCCUUUCUGCCAUCUCUGGGAUGGUGACGUGCUGUGCCUGCCUGGGGGCAUUGUGUCUGCCCCAGGCCCUGUUCUGGUGCCCACACUCCUGCAGACAGAACUGGUGCUAAGGUGCCACAAGGAGACCGACUGCGACCUCUGUGUGCGUGUGGCUGUCCACUUGGCUGUGCAUGGGUCCUGGGAAGAAACCCUGCAGAUGAAGAGGAGUUUGGAAGAACACCUGACCCAGGGCUAGAGGAUCCUAGGAAUGCCUCUCUCAGGCCCAUGUGGUGCUGUCCUUCCAGGCCUACCCUACUGCCCGCUGCGUCCUGCUGGAGGUGCAAGUGCCUGCUGCCCUUGUGCAAGCCUGGUCAGUCUGUGCCCAACUGCAGAGGUUGACGUCCAGGCAGCAUGCCAGCGGUGCUCACCCUGCCCUGGCUCAACGUGUCUGCUGAUGGCGACCAUGUGCGCCUUGUGCUGGACGUCUCUGAGGAACAGCGCUUCGGCCUCUCCCUGUACUGGAACCAGACCCAGGGCCCUGCAAAACCCUGGUGGCACAGAAACCUGACUGGGCCACAGACCAUUACCUUGAACCACACAGACCUGGUUCCCUGCCUCUGUAUUCAGGACUCCUACCUGUGCUUCGUGCCCUCUUCAGAUGUCAUCGCCCCCUUGAAGGCCUCCUCUGCUUCUCCAGUUCCCUGAUGUGCUCCCCUGGAGAGUAGAGCAUGUGCUGUGCACUUAGACUGGCCUAAAUUCUGACUCUUGCCAUUUGCUAGCUGGGUGACUUGGACAAGUCACUUCACCUCUCUGAGUCUGUUUCCUGUCUGUAAGAUGGGAAUAAGGGUACCAGCCUCACAGGGCUGUAAUAAGGAAGUGUGCCACUUCCAGCUCAUAUAUGUUGUAAUAAUACAAUCUCCUUCUGAUUGUACAUUUAAUUGGAUAUCAUGUUCCAUCUGUUUUACCUUUGACAUGAAUGUCUCUUAUUCCCACUACCUGAAAUGCCUUCACUUCUUUUCCAUACACCCCGAUCCAUCCAGCUCAAAUGUCACCUCAUUCCCAAAGCUUUUGCUCAACUUGCAUUUAUUGUCUUUCCCUGUUCAUUGUCAUUUAUCAUUUCCUUUCUAUUUGGGCAUCUGUCUCUUCUUGCACACAACAUACCCUCAAUAAAUGAGUGACUUAUUUAUG
rnacentral:lncRNA from 1 species